GGUUCCUUUCCUGUAGGUCUUGGGAGCAUUGCAGCUCAGACAAGCUCCGUGAUUGUCCACUGUAUUAUUUGAUUGAAGUCUGACUAUAAGUCAGUCUCUCUCUCCCUCCCUCUCUCGAUUUCUCCGCCAGGUACUGUGCUAAACUGUUGACACAGAAAACUGCUGAACCCUUACCCCAGCCUUGCAAGAUUUAUCUUCAUUGAUAGAGGCAGAAGCAGAAGCCUAAGUUCGAGCCUAAGUUCAAGUUAGUGUUGCUUCUGCUCUAUGAAGACUCUCUGGUCCGUCCCAAACAGGCAGGACGGAAGAGGGAGAAUGUGUUCUUGGAGAAGGAGAUGACCGGACAAGGAGGGCUGCAGGAGAGAUCUGGGGGCCAAGAGAGGCUGCAGCAUGGAGGGAGCAAAGUUGGUGUCCUUGAAUUUCAAAGGCAUGUAAAUAUCAGCAUCCCAACUGGAGGGGCAUUACCUCGGCUGCCUCUUGGAAGAGUCAAGAGGCAAGACAGAAAGAAUGACGUCAAGAGACCCAACCCAGAUAAAAUAUUUGAAUCCAGGUGAAUUGCUAAAAUUGUGGCAAGAUAAAUGCAGUUGCAGUGAUAAUGACUCCUUUCCAUAGGAUACAUGGUUCCCAUAGGUGGUAAAAUGACUAAAUUAGCCAAUCUAAAUUCUAAGUCACACGCUUUCCUAUGUAGAGAGUUCAUAAUAAGUCAAUGGGGAAAAAUAUAUGGUUUAGUUCUGGAGUGCCUACCCAUGGGGGUAUUUUAAG